GGCUGAGGAAGUUGCCUCUCUCUGGCGCCUGCAUUCAAUGAACGUUUGUAAUGUUAGCAGGUGUGGACCUUGAGGAGAUUUUCUCUCCCUGGCUGCCCAAUUAUCAUUUUUAGAGAGGCAAUGCGAUAAUUGCUGAACGAUGUCACCUGACAUUCCUAGCGGGUGGGAGAGAGCCCUCUCCUGCCCCGCUCAUUGCCUAACUACCUGUAACAGGUGUGUGGGUGAGUGCUCCCUGUGAUGGAACGGUGUCCUGUUCAGGACUGGGUGCCACCUGGCACCUUGAGCUGCCAGGACCGGCUCGGGCUGCUCGCGAUCCCAAACUAGAACAAAUGGAAAUGUUCAGUUGUCUAGCUCACAGGGAUAUCCACAAGCCAGACCCAGAAAGCCUUUGCUACCAUUGAUGAAGAUGCCAAGUCCACAGCCCAACAGCCAGAAGACCCUUGGUCUAGCCCUUGGAUUCAGACUGAAUUGAUAUCGCCAGGUUUCCUGUCUUUUCAGCUUGCAGGCAGCUGAUUGUGGGACUUCUCAGCCUCCUUAAUCAUAUUUUCUUAUCAUUGGCCUUCAACAUUUUUAUCAGGAUAUAUCUGUGUAUAUUGCAGAUUUUACAAAUUGAAGGUUUGUGACAACUCCCUCAAGGAAGUCUGUUGGUGUUAUUUUUCCAACAGCAGGUACUCACUUCAUGUCUCUGUGUCACAUUUUGGCCUUUAAACCAAGAGAAGACAUACCUGAGCAAUUGAACCAGAAGGGAUGAGCCCCACCUGGAUCUGAUGCAGAUUAAAAUAUCUUGGACCUUGGGCCUGAGCUUGGAAUGGAAUGAGACCUUUGAGGAUCUUAGUGGGGAAUCCCCUUGUCAUAAAACCAAUGCAUAAGAUACAACUGCAUCCAAUGUAUUCCAGGGAAAGAUUCUCUGCAGAUGACUCAAGGAAAGCCACAGGAGCAACAGGGAAACUGAAAGAACAAAUAUCACAGUUGAUUCAGAAGGGCAGCCCCACAUUUUUAAGUGAUACCCAACCAUUGUGAACAAGCUCUGUCAACACCAUCUGCUCCACAAAGGAAAGUUGCUGAUUAUUGCAUCUCUAAGUGGAGUCGGUUCUCUCCCACGAUAGCAGAAGGCUUUCACAUUCACUAUACUGUUAUGGACAUGGAGGAUGGGAACCAUUGCUUUGUUUACUCUGCAACUUCUUAAUUAUAUCACAAAAGACUCGACACAUAAGCAGUAUCCAGAAAAGCAAGUCGACUACAUAAAAAUCAAUGCAUGAUUGUCUAUAGCCUUUGACAUACUAGGACCAGUCAAGAUAUGUGUGGAGGGUAAUGAAGAAUGGGCAAAUACCAGAGAAAAGACAGCUGAGUGUCCAUGAUAAAG
rnacentral:lncRNA from 1 species